rnacentral:lncRNA from 1 species
UUGGUUCAACCAAUAGGUCUUUGGGGGCACGUAUCGGGGAGCACGGGAGUGACAUGGAGCUGGGUUCGUUCGGCACUGCUCUGGCGGCUGGAGCGUGCAAGCAUGAUGUUGAUGUGGAGUGGAACAGUGCGAAGAUUGUUAUGAGUGGAAUGGAAAGUGCCAACGUUAGAAUGGCAGAGAUGCUACAGAUUGAUGGGUUGAGUAGGGGGGGGCAUGUUUUGAGUUCGAAUGACCCGCAUUGCAUUUCCUUGGCCUGGAGAUGGUGUGGCUUAUGAUUUGUGGUUCGCGGCCGAUGUCACCGUUGGUUGUCGGCGCAGCGCUUC